UAUUUCCUGGUUGUGUUUUACCUAUACUCUAAUAGCAUACUAACUGAGAUAGAAUACCUAUCUCAGAAUACCUAUCUCAGUUAGUAAAUUAGAGUAUAAGUACAUUGUUACAACUCGACCUGAUCAUCCCAAUGAAUCAACCAAACUGGAAGUGUUUUCUUAUAGCCUAGAAUGGACUUGGCCAAACCCGGAAUAGUUUGUUUUAAGUAAGAAAUUUAUGAUUUCAAAAUACUAGCCGGUGAACUUUGAAAGGAAAUUGUGAUUUUUUUUGUUUUUGUUUUUUUGUUAAUGUAGUUUGAAACUUUCAUGUGUUGAAUCAGUGUUUAAUUUAAUUCAAAUGCUGAAUUUUAAAUUAUAGAAUUUAGUCUAAAUGUUGAAAUUUUAUUGAAUAUAAUGUUGUUUAAUUAUAUAAAUAUUAUUUUAGAAUUUUAAAAAUAUAUUAAGUCUUAUGACUUGAUGACCCCCAUCUGAACCAUCCUGCACAUAUUGGGUUGGUUUGUCAUCAUCUUCUGCAGGUUGUCCUAUAGUCACUACUGUUGGUGGGCUAUAAUUUGGUCAUUACUGUUGAGACUCUUGCAUUUCAAUCUUUUUUUGGAUAAUCAGUGUCUACUUUUGUCAGCUCCUUUGAGUUUUUUGUGCAGGUGUUGCAGGGGAAAUAGUGUAUAAAUGUGUGGCAGGCAGAGGUACACACUUUCCCGUUCUGCCUUGGAUAAACUGCGAGUCGAAGUUCGGAUAUCGACCAUUGAUUCAUCAGAUAAUAAUGAAUUUCUUCAGAUAGAAAAAUCAAAUUUCAUCUCGUUGGUUGUCAAGAUAUUAACUUUCUUCGUAGCAUGGAGCAUCAAGAUAUUCUCUUAUGUUGUUUUAGUGUCCUGUCUUCUUGUGCUCUAAGGACUCGUCUGUAUUACAAGGAUGAAAAUUUGUUUCAACGAAUCAUCGUCUUCUGCAGACUUUAGUCAGGUCAUCUCUUUUAAGACUCUUUACAUUUCAGUCUUUGUUUUGAUACUCAGCAUCUAUUUUGGUCAGUUCCUUUGAGUUUUCUGUGUGGAUGUUCCAGGGAAAAGUUAACCUGCAAAUGUGUGGUUUGCAAUGGAAUUUGUGGAAGGAAGAGGAUAGCGUUGAAGUUGUUGUCUUUCUGUGUUAGCUUGGUUUGGCACUCCCCAAGGACGAGGAGUUCUGGAGUCUGGACAACAAUGGUUUGGCACUUUUUUAUUAUGUUGAUUUGCCACUUCUUUUGUUAUUAUUUUCUCUCUCUAUUUUCCAGCCAUUUGAGAUAUAAAAAUAAUAAGAAUUUUUCUCCUAAAUUAGAAGAAUAAUGGAGAAUUAGAAUCUGCUGUCCUUUCAUUAAUUGCCAUCUCUGUACCGUGACUAUGAAUUGCAUCCAUUUCUUUUAGCUUACUAACUGAGAUAGAAUACAUAUAUUAGUUAGUAAGCUAUUAGAGUAUAAGUACAUUGUUACAACUCGACCCGAUCAUCCCAAUGAAUAAACUAGAAGCGUUUUCUAAUAGCCUAGAAUGAACCUGGUCAAACCCGGAAUAGUUUGUGUUAAGUUAGAAAUUUAUGAUUUCAAAAUGCUAACCCGUGAACUUUGAAAAAAAAUUGUGAUUUAUUUUUUUAUUAAUGUAGUUUGAGACUUUCAUGUGUUGAAUGCAGUAUCUUCAACUCGUUAUGUAGGUUUUCACAUUACUUUUUCACAAUAGAUUCUUAUUCCACUUCUGGUUGUAGAGGCUGGGGAUUGAGAUAUUGGUCUCUAGAUAUAUGUUUGAGGAGGAAGAUUUUAUAAGGCCAUGGGAAAGACAACGAAGAUAAAUUGAAUCCAAUCACAUGAAGCUAGCUAGAGACCAAAUACUCAUUUUUGUUGCUGCAAGUGAAACUAGCAUAGAUAGAUAACCUUGUCAAACAACUAAAUGUGCAGCCAAAAUUGUUUCUUAGUGUUGCUCAACUUUGACUACAUGUAUAUAUCAGAUCUGUAUUUCGAUGCCUAUCUAUUGAAAUAGUUAAGUCCCAGAGGCAGUUGAUUUCACAUUAGAGGAAUUAAAGUUGUCGAGGGUGUAUCAAAGGUAUUGCUUCAUAG